rnacentral:rRNA from 1 species
AUUGAACGCUGGCGGCAGGCCUAACACAUGCAAGUCGAGCGGAGCGGCGGACGGGUGAGUAAUGCCUAGGAAUCUGCCUGGUAGUGCGGGAUAACGUCCGGAUACGGGCGCUAAUACCGCAUACUAUCAGAUGAGUCUAGGUCGGAUUAGCUAGGUGGUGGGGUAAAGGCCUACCUAGGCGACGAUCCGUAACUGGUCUGAGAGGCUGAUCAGUCAACCUGGAACUGAGACACGGUCCAGACGCCUACGGGCGGCAGCGUUGGGGAAGAUUGGACAAUGGGCGAAAGCCUGAUCCAGCCAUGCCGCGUGUGUGAAGAAGGUCUUCGGAUUGUAAAGCACUUUAAGUUGGGAGGCGUUACCAACAGAAUAAGCACCGGCUAACUUCGUGCCAGCCGCCGCGGUAAUAC